rnacentral:lncRNA from 1 species
UGUUUGUGUGUUUCCUCGUCAAAACGCAGGCAUUGGCCUGGGAACUAGGUGACAGUCAUGACUUCCCUCUUACCAUCCACAACAACAUAGUCUUUCAUGAGAUCGUUGUGAACAAUGUUGACAAGGGAGAACCAACCUUUGUCUCAUCCACGCUUCCCUACCAUGCCUCGAAAGCCGGCUUCAGCUGUGCGUAAAUGCUGUACAAAGGUGGGUGACAGAAAACGGCUUCAAAUUUUCUCCUACUAAGUCAGUAUGCAUUCACUUUUGCAAACUGAGAGGUAUGUUUCCAAACCCUUCUACUUCUGUCAACGGCACGGUACUCAAAGUGGUCCAGGAAGUAAAAUUUCUUGGGGUCAUCUUUGACCGUAAACUGUCCUUUCUACCUCCUAUCUAAUCUCUACACCUAUCUUGUCAGAAAGCCUUGGACAUUCUUAGAGUAGUUGGCCAUGUCAGCUGGGGAGCGGAUCGCACGGUCCUGCUGUGUCUGUAUCGUGCACUCGUCCGCUCCAAGCUAGACUAUGGAUCCAUUAUCUAUGGCUCUGCUCGAGAGUCCUACCUCAAAAUUCUCGAUCCUAUCCAUCAUCAAGGGCUCCGCAUCUGUUUGGGUGCCUUUCGCACCAUUCCUGUACAAAGUUUGUAUGCAGAAGCUGGUGAGCCUCCCCUUUCUCUCCGUCGUCUGAAACUCGUGCUAUCCUAUGUCUGUCGUUUGAAAGCUCAUCCUGGAAACCCUGCGUAUCGUGCUGUCUUCAGACCUCAGCGUGCUGCCCUGUAUGCCAUUCGUACCAAGGGGCAAAAACCUCUAUCACUCCGAGUAGCGCCUCACCUACAAGCUGCCGGAGUAGAUAUUCAACAGGUGGAACCUCUAUCACUGCUAACAACUCCUCCUGGAACCCUUCCUAUUCCAGAAAUCCGUUUUGAUCUUUCAACCUUAAGAAAGGGAACACUAGUGACCCCAUCUACCUCCAACACUUUUAUGAACUUAUUUCUGAUUAUCCUGAAUUCUGCUCUGUAUUCACAGAUGGCUCCAAAAUCCCAAGUGGAGGCCCAGUCGCUGCGGCAGCAGUUCCGUCCUGCCAACCACAACUGUUUCAGUCCGACUGGCAGACAAAUGUUCUAUUUUCACAGCAGACCUUCAUGUCAUCUUGCUUGCCUUGCAGCAUGCUCACCGCUCUUUGGAACACAGCUUUUUGAGUAUUUCAGACUCUCUUUCUGCACUUCAAGCUCUUAUUUCAAAUGAGUCUGACCACCCCCUUGUGGUCCAGAUUCAUAACCUUCAUGCAGCACUCUUUCGGCAAAAUAAGGACAUUGUUUUUAGUUGGGCUCCUAGCCAUGCUGGUAUCCCAGGCAAUGUUCGAGCAGACCAGGCUGCCAAGGCUGCAUGUCAGUCCCCUGGUAAACUUCAAUCACUUAUUUCAUCAGACUGCAAAUCUUUAUUUCCGGCCUACAUUCAGUCCUUAUGGCAACGCCACUGGGACACUCUGGGCCAAAACAAGUUAUAUGCCACCCUUCCCUGCCUUUCCGAUCUACUACCUUCUUGCCGCCCUACGAGACGGGAGGAGGUAGUUCUUACAAAAUUAAAGAUAGGACACACCUAUGCCACGCAAGGAUCCCAGCCUGCAUGAACUUUGGGAGUUUGAAGGGCCCCUAACGGGGGGAGGGGGUGAAAGUAAGGGCUACGGGCUAUCCCUCUCCUAAAUGACCGAACGCCCAUAGGGCGUAGCCGUUACGCGCUUACGUGACCCGUAUGUCGGACAUUUCACUCCGCCCUCUGACCUCGCGCCCACUUUUGCUGACCGGCUGUCGGACUCCGCACUCGCGGCCCGAUGGGUUUCUACCUGCAACAACCGCUUUGGUCAUCGCACUCUCGGUGAGUUUGUGAAUUAGGUGAGAAGUGUACCCUAAAAUUCUGUAAAAUAUUAUAACAUGAAUUAUUCAUGCCAGUUGAAACUGCCUGUACAGUAUCAGGAUUUUUUUUAUUAGUUUAAUUUAAUUUAUAUAGUUCAGUGGUGGAUUUCAUGUUCCGACGUACCAGCGAAUAACUAGCUUACCAGCCCAUAAGCGCAAAAAGUCGAAAUUAAUAGCGAAUAAGUCGGCCUUAUCGCGUGGUAAGUUAUGGUCAGGGGGGACCCGCCUUUACGCGGCUAUUAGCGCAGAAAAAUGGCGACUGUAGUAGCUGUGCUCUCGCUAAACAGGCGAAAUCUUCGUCGAAACAGAAUAUUUAGGGACAAUUAUAUCUUUAAAUGAUGUAGAAGUGUACACGAAAUUUGAAUUUCGUGGAGUUGAUAAAAUGUCUAUUGUCUAUGAGGUAGAAGGUGAAUUGGAAAUGUCGAAUCGAGGGAACAAUGUUCCCUCAAGCAGACGAGAAUGUUUUGCACUUCGCAACGUGUGUGUGUGGCGAUUUGGUGGGAGUUUCCGAAGAGAAAUGUCACAUCGUGAGGAGAGUGACCAAACGCUACUACGACAUGCUCGACGAUAGAUCGUCUUUCCCGACCAGCGAGAGGCAGAGAGAAGAGAAAGUUCUAUGCAAGCGGUGGUUUUUCCGAGUGUUGUUGAUGCAUCGACGGGACGCGAAAAAUAAUGAGCACCAAUACCUGAAUGGAAAAUAUUUUCAUUCACUGAAUGUUCAGGUUAAUGUUGAUCAACAUGCUUGCAAAGUGGCAUCCAGGGUGUUCGCAGCCUUUGAAAGCAACUGUAGACUACUGGACCGGGUCAUGCUAGGUGACAGUGGCUGCAUGAUAGGAGAGUGAUUGUUGACACCAUUUCAGCAUCCUGCACCCUUGCAGGAAAGGAAAUACAACACAGCACAUAGCUGUACAUGCAACUGGCAUAGCUAAAAAGAGAUGGCAUUAUCUCUUGGGUCUGAAGAUGGAACCAGAUCAGGCAUGUGAAGUGACUGUGUUCUCAAUUGGGGAGAGCCAGACAAUGAUGGCGACAAUCAUGAUGUUGGACAUAACAAUGAUUUAAAUAAUGAAAAUCACUACAAUAAAAUCAAUGACACUGUUUCAGUACAUGGUGCUCCCACAGAAAGAGCCCAUGUUGCAGCAGGCCAAGGUGUCAGGAACCAAUCUGUUUAUAGACUUUUCUUGUAAAUAUGUUAACCCAUAAUUUUAUACAUUUCUGUACAGUUCAUAGUGUCAGAACUAUUUUGAUAACGAAGUUAGAACAUCAACAAUAGACAUAGUCAAAGGUUUAGAUGUAGGCCCAACAUGUGU